rnacentral:rRNA from 1 species
AUGACUCUCGGCAACGGAUAUCUCGGCUCUCGCAUCGAUGAAGAACGUAGCGAAAUGCGAUACUUGGUGUGAAUUGCAGAAUCCCGUGAACCAUCGAGUUUUUGAACGCAAGUUGCGCCCGAAGCCGUGAGGUCGAGGGCACGUCUGCCUGGGCGUCACG